rnacentral:rRNA from 1 species
AUCUUCCGCAAUGGACGCAAGUCUGACGGAGCAACGCCGCGUGCGUGAUGAAGGUUUUCGGGUCGUAAAACUCUGUUGUUAGGGAAGAACAAGUGCUAGUUGAAUAAGCUGGCACCUUGACGGUACCUAACCAGAAAGCCACGGCUACCUACGUGCCACCAUCCGCGGUAAUACGUAGGUGGCAAGCGUUAUCCGGAAUUAUUGGGCGUAAAGCGCGCGCAGGUGGUUUCGUAAGUCUGAUGUGGAAGCCCACGGCUCAACCGUGGAGGGUCAUUGGAAACUGGGAGACUUGAGUGCAGAAGAGGAAAGUGGAAUUCCAUGUGUAGCGGUGAAAUGCGUAGAGAUAUGGAGGAACACCAGUGGCGAAGGCGACUUUCUGGUCUGUAACUGACACUGAGGCGCGAAAGCGUGGGGAGCAAACAG